GUUUCCGUAGUGUAGUAGUUAUCACGUUUGCUCAACACGCAAAAGGUCCUCAGUUCGAAACUGGGCGGAAACA
rnacentral:tRNA from 1 species